rnacentral:rRNA from 1 species
AUUGAACGCUGGCGGCAGGCCUAACACAUGCAAGUCGAGCGGAUGAAGGGAGCUUGCUCCUGGAUUCAGCGGCGGACGGGUGAGUAAUGCCUAGGAAUCUGCCUGGUAGUGGGGGAUAACGUCCGGAAACGGGCGCUAAUACCGCAUACGUCCUGAGGGAGAAAGUGGGGGAUCUUCGGACCUCACGCUAUCAGAUGAGCCUAGGUCGGAUUAGCUAGUUGGUGGGGUAAAGGCCUACCAAGGCGACGAUCCGUAACUGGUCUGAGAGGAUGAUCAGUCACACUGGAACUGAGACACGGUCUAGACUCCUACGGGAGGCAGCAGUGGGGAAUAUUGGACAAUGGGCGAAAGCCUGAUCCAGCCAUGCCGCGUGUGUGAAGAAGGUCUUCGGAUUGUAAAGCACUUUAAGUUGGGAGGAAGGGCGGUAAGUUAAUACCUUGCUGUUUUGACGUUACCAACAGAAUAAGCACCGGCUAACUUCGUG